rnacentral:tRNA from 1 species
GGUCGAGUAGCUCAGCUGGAUAGAGCAACAGCCUUCUCAGCUGUGGGUCUUGGGUGCGAAUCCCAACUUGAUCA